GAUGAACGCUGGCGGCGUGCCUAAUACAUGCAAGUCGAGCGAACAGACGAGGGGCUUGCUCCUCUGACGUUAGCGGCGGACGGGUGAGUAACACGUGGAUAACCUACCUAUAAGACUGGGAUAACUUCGGGAAACCGGAGCUAAUACCGGAUAACAUGUUGAACCGCAUGGUUCAACAGUGAAAGACGGUCUUGCUGUCACUUAUAGAUGGAUCCGCGCCGCAUUAGCUAGUUGGUAAGGUAACGGCUUACCAAGGCAACGAUGCGUAGCCGACCUGAGAGGGUGAUCGGCCACACUGGAACUGAGACACGGUCCAGACUCCUACGGGAGGCAGCAGUAGGGAAUCUUCCGCAAUGGGCGAAAGCCUGACGGAGCAACGCCGCGUGAGUGAUGAAGGUCUUCGGAUCGUAAAACUCUGUUAUUAGGGAAGAACAAAUGUGUAAGUAACUAUGCACGUCUUGACGGUACCUAAUCAGAAAGCCACGGCUAACUACGUG
rnacentral:rRNA from 1 species